CGCUGCUCCUCUGUGGCCCCUCCGUGGCCUCGGAGCUCGGCCGGGCUUGUGUGCGAGCAGCGCCGCCUGCCGGCUGGAAGCAGCCGCCGCAGAGCUCCGUCCUCCGGCUGUCAGCGCUGCGCUCAGAGCAGCGGUGGAGGCUGGAAGAGAGCAGAGGAUCCGGGGAGACCGUGUGAGCGGAUGAAGCUGCAGCAGCUCCUGUUGACAGAGAAGACUCAUCAGUGCCAGAAAAACUCCAUGUGGAAUCAAGUGCUGAUGCUCCUCACCUUCCAGACUGCAUAUAUCUUAUCUUCUGUACUUAUGUAUCAGUCAAAGCUGUGCAGACUGUUUGCAGGAUCCUGGUUCAGAGGUCAGGAGCAGUGGAUAAGGGUCAUCCACCGGCCCAGGGGUGCGAUUUCAACUUGCCUGAGGGAGGGUAAGUGAGUGGUCCCAAGACCCCGAAAACCCCAAGGCUUGAAAUCAAACCACAGCACAACAUGGUAAAGUCUCAGUCUGACCGCAGCCUGAGACUCAUCUGGAAACCUGGCAGAGCUCUUCUAACAUGUAGCAGCACUUUUUUUUUUGGUAUAUGGACAAAAAAAUAAAUAUCAGUGUGAUAUUUAUUUAUUCUCCUAGAUUCUUUUUAUCCCUAGGAUUCACUUAGUGCUUCUUAGAACAAAGAAAAGUCUAUUUGUAUCACAGCAUCACGUGUUCAGCUCAGUUUUAAGCCACAUUAGUUUGGUCUACAUAGUUUUAUUAAUUGCAAAUAAGGCAGAAAUUUGCACCACUGAAAGUUAUCAAGUGGCCUAUUGGGACACAGACUUGCUGGAUCUCUAUGUGCUGCACACUUUAAGCUUUUAUUCUUUCUUAGUAGAAAGCCAGAUAAAUGUUAAGGGGUUAGCACAUGCAAAGCUACAGUAAGGUGCUCUUACCAUGUCAUCAGAGAAGUGUCAGGUCACAACCAAUAAUCAUCUUCGUUAUCAUCCCAAGGAACGUAUUUAUUUCAAAGUGGAUAAAAUGUCAAAAAAUAAAUAAAAAAUUUAAAAUUAAAAAAGUGAUAAACAACAUGUUAACAGUCAUGUUGCUGUAUUUGUCUGAUCAUCAUAAUGUAGAGAACAGGGUCAGUGCAAAGAAGAAAAAGGUACUUUAAAGAUCAGUCCGUGCAAAUUGUUGCCAGUUAACUGAUUGAUGGUUGAUUUCAGCUCUACAGUACAGUUGGGAUAGAUGUCUGGGGAAUGGAACAAUGAAACCACUGAAAGUUAUAAAAUAUUUCUCCCUGUGGAUGUUAACCUGCCAUUUCCCUAGAAGAAGAAAUUCAACCUCACUAAUUUGCUUCAAGGAUCAGUCAGUGCUGAAUCCUGCUGGGGCCAAACCAUCUAUGAACUGAACUGUUUGAACCAAAGGCGAACGUUCUGACCGUUGGAGCAAAGUUUCUAAAAAUGUCAAAUUUAUCAGGCUGAAAUUAGCGGAACUGUGUAUAAAAAAAUGACUUCCCCAUUUAAUAUCUGAUACUAUACUUUCUGCCACAGCACCUGAUCUGUAUCAGCAGAUUGAGUUUUUCCAGCUGUCAUGGAUUUAAUUAUACGUAUUUGAACUUCCUUUUUGUUUGACUGGAAUAGUUGACUAGGUUUAAAUAGGGAGUGAUAACUGAAAACUGCUUUUUCAACCUUGAAGAUAUGCGAAGUAAAACGUAACGACAAAAUCGUUUUUUCUCAAUAUUUUUCUCAGAUAUAUCAGACAGAAAAUUAACAUAAAAUGAUACACAAGAUAUAUCUAAGGUUUUUUGAUUGUUGCUAAAACUGUCAGAAAAAAAUCUGCUGUUCCACAAAUGUAAAAUGUCCAGCAGGAUGCUGUAAUCCUUCUAUUAAUACCUGAACACUGGGCUGCAAAAUACAGCUGUUUAUUUCCAGCUUUUCUGACAUUCUUUAUAUUAUUAACCUUCUGAAAUCUUGAUUCUGUUUUCAAAUUGUUCUUUACAGUUCAGCCUAAUCUCUGUGACUUUAUGAGUAGCUUCUCAUUUUCACACUGACAGCUGUUCUGCAUCCGUUAGAAACAUAGUCAGAACCUGGAAGUCUUCUGCCAUUUUACACACAUUUCCUCAGAACGCUGCCUGUUUUUGGAAACACUGGUAUCUCCUUUAGAACUGGAACUGCAGUAGUUUUACAAAAUGUAUUUAGCAUUGGUUCUGUAUUUGAAUCAUUGGCUGCAGGGCUGCAACAAAGCAGCAUUUUCUUAAUAAUUUUUCCAAGCGUCGAUUAAUCAUUCAGAUUUAAAAUGUCACACAAUGAAGAGUUAAGGCUUUGACUAUUUGGUGAUAUUUUUGUAAUCCUCUUUAUCUAAGUGUUACUUCACUGCUCAGUGCCGAAUACAAGAUUAUCCUUUUUUGUAUUACCCCCGAACAUUUUAAAUUGCUCACAUAUUACAUAGAAAAAUAUCCAACCGGCCCUAAAAAUACUCCCUGUUGUUGUGAAAUUCCUCACAAUCACCGAUGUGUUACAGAGGACACAGCUGCAGUGCUCUCACUGUCAGCUACCAUCCUUGAAAAUACUAAUUAGAAGUUCUCAAAGUCUAAGAUCACAAUUAGUUUUAAAGAAAUAUAAAACAGAAAAAAAGGCACACAUUUGAGGAACUGUUACCAGAAAAUGAUUCAUAUUCUUGGCAGAUGAAUCACAUCUUUGUCAUUUUUGCUGCAUUCAGGUGCACAACACCACUUUGUGAUGAUGUCUGUGGUUUUUAAAAGCUCUGUAUUUGGACAUGUUCUUUUGUUAUUUUUCUCUUUGCAGAUUUGUAGUUAAAAAAAACUUCAACUUUGAAAAAAACCUUUCUACACAUCCAUUGUUCUGAAGAUAAAGAAACAGGUUGUGUGGUUGUGUGUGAUUUUGAGAAAUACUUUGGGAGAUUGAAUAAAAAAUGAAAUGACA